GUCUGGAAAUAGCUCAGUUAGGAGACUGUUAGACUAAAGAGCUAAAGGUCCCUGGUUCAAUCCUGGGAUUUGGAAG
rnacentral:tRNA from 1 species